rnacentral:rRNA from 1 species
UACAGAGGUGGCAAGCGUUGUUCGGAAUUACUGGGCGUAAAGGGCGCGUAGGCGGCCUUCUCAGUCAGACGUGAAAUCCCCGGGCUUAACUCGGGAACUGCGUCUGAUACUGGAAGGCUUGAGUUCGGGAGAGGGAUGUGGAAUUCCAGGUGUAGCGGUGAAAUGCGUAGAUAUCUGGAGGAACACCGGUGGCGAAGGCGGCAUCCUGGACCGAAACUGACGCUGAGGCGCGAAAGCCAGGGGAGCAAACGGG